UGUACUGACAUUUCUUAACUGUGACAUUAGGACUAUACAGUCCACAAGUAUUCUGUGUAAUAUUUUAUAUAUGUUUAUGAGUGUUUUCAUUAUUUGUCACACUCUUAGUAAGACUUUAAUGACCCUCAAGAAUUGUGCACAUCUCCCACUGUAACUCAAGCAAGCUGUCAAUCAUAUUCAUAAAUUAUGCCAAAUUUACAAAAUAUUUGGUUUUGAAUUGUCUUUAAACUGUGUUCCAUGUGUUGUCAGAUUCAACAUGUUUCUUAAUUGGCUAACAAAAUAAGCAGAAAGAACAAUCUGCCCUUCCUCAGGUUUAUCAAAUGUCAUGUUUAAAGGAACAGAAUUAAAAAAAUAAAUACACUAAGUUCUUAUAAUUCUAUAUAAUAUAAAACCAGACUGUCCGAUUUAACACCGUUUCUGUUGAGCUGAGCAAUAUUCAUUACGUGCACCCAGUUUGCCAUUGAGCACAUGUCCAUAAUUUCUUACAACAUUCACAAUGGCACAGUAAUAAACUACCAGAGUAAAUUAUUUUACUCCCAGAUUAUAACACAUUAUCACAAGGUGUAUCAAAUAUUCACACAGAUUCAACAGACUCUUCGAAAAAAGUGAUAAAGUACUACAUAAGAAUUAUUUUUCUAUAUCUAUUUUUAAAGUUCCAUUUAAAAGUCAAAUUUAGCAGCAAUAAAUACAUACAAACAGAAACCAGACACUGUAGUUGUGUUGGGCCCUAUGACUCAUACUCUAUAUUCACAGCAUCUCACUUAAGAAAUGCAAAAUUUUCUUUUACUUCAGGAUUGUAAUACAGUACUACACUGAAUGUUAUGUUUAUCCGGUCUCAUGUAAUAUACAGUAUUUAGAAGGCCAGAAUAUGUGAAAGCUACAGUAGUUUAUCAUUUACAUCCAUCGCAGUAUAACCACUCAUAACUGCUUGUCAAAUGUAAUAUAUUCUUUGUUAACCGAUAGUGUAACAACAAAUAUAUAAAAACAGGUCUCAAUAAUCUUAAUUGAUUAAAUGUUCAGGUUUUAAUAAAGAAAUUUGUGUUUUCUCUUAAUUUAAUAAAUGCUAAAAUUCGUUAAUUGAUGCGACUUCCUUUAAAAUAUGUCUAAAAUCUAACAGUACGUUGCCAGACCUGAAUCUAUUCAUUAAUAAAUAUCGCCAUGAGCCGGUGACAUUUCGCCUCUUCAGCAGCGUUUUAUGAUAGACCGGAAAACUUGAAUAAGAAGCCAACUCCAGCCUAGAGGGCAUCAACCCCGAACCGGAAAUCCAAAGGGUGGAGUUGGACUUGAUGUCGUGUUUCAUUGGUCCGGACUUUCGAAUUGGAUACGGCUCAGUUGCAAUUUCCCUCCUCAGACUUCUGUUUACAGACCAAUCUUGGGGAUGGAAAGGAGACCUGCAUCAGAAGACGAAGUGUAUCCUAACAAGGACCAGCUAGAACCAACAAUGAGGAACACACCGUAAUGGGUACAGGUGAUGGCACCCUCCACUGACUGACAGACUGGACAGUGUGUCCUUAACCUAAACUAACACCUAAUUAAACUCCAAAAUGAUAAAUUAAGAAAAUUAAAAGUAAUAAAAGUUUAAGUUUGAUUCGCACUGUUUUUUUUAGAUUAGAAUUGGAGAGGGGAGAAGAUAAUUGAAUAAUUCAAACAAAUUACUUAAGCAUAAUUGUAUCUGGCCCUUCUUAUUCUCCACAAUUCUCUGCACAUUCACCACUCUACUUUCCAGUGGUUUGUAGCAGCUCUAAUGAUUAUCUACAAUAUUAUUUCAGAUUAAAUGUACAAUUAGGAUUAUGCUAAUCUUGUGUAAAAUUGCCUUCAUACAUACAAUACCUGUUGUCUUUACUCUGUGAGGAACUUGCAUAUUAGCUGCACCAACACCUCCUCUUGCCACAAGACACUAUGACAGUGGCGACACCGAGGAAGCAAGAGACGAGGCUGCAAGGAAGUACUCUUUAUUUUCCAUCAUUCCAUCAAUGUCCUCAGACAACCAGAAUUGUCUAAACAUGGAAGAAGAUCAGGUCUGCUAUUUCCAACGCUGACUGCUGUUUCCAACGUGAGCUAGAGGGGCGUAUAUAGCCCUGAGCCAAAGCUUCCCUGAUGUACUGUUCCAUCCUCUGGGUCUCCUCCUGGGAGAUAGACUCUACUCCUCGGUGGUACAGCUCAGUCCCUCAGAAUUAUGGCACAGUCUCAGUCAUGAUGGGGAGGUAGCUGGGUUGCCUUCACUGUACUGAAAACCUCUGCCAAGUCUUGGUACUCCUGAGGAAUGAUGAUUCCCUUGUCAGCGUCAAGGGUUGUGUGUGCAUAUCCAAGGAAGACCUAAUGUGAGGGGGUGAGAAAGAGAGGAGAGUAAAUAAAAGGAUGUGUGUUCUAUGUGCUCAUUUAUUUCGAGGAAAACUCUAGGAGUGACAUGAGUGAUGAAUCCCGAACCCACAGGUCCCCCAUCAAGUGCUUGCACACUUAAAGGAGAAGGCAGGGAAAUUGCCUUUAUCCCCAGUUUCCUUGCAAUGCUCCAUUCCAUCGGAUUCCCUGCUGCUCCUGAGUCCACAAGUGCCAUAGAGCGAAUCUCCUAAGUUCCAGCCUCUGCUGUUCAAGUCUCGCCAUCUAAACAGAUAGCAGCUGUGCCCAGUCGGGACUGCUUGCCUCGCUCCCAGUAGGCUGCACAUUUUGUGAAGGUGGCGACACAGAGGGAGCGAGAGACGGGGCUGCAAGGAAGUGAUUUUCCAUCAUAAACAAAUGAAGAGUAGAACAAAAACAAAGGAAUCAGAAUACGUACAUCCUGCUGGAUGACCAGCCAACCAUGACAGAUGUGCUUGAUUAGGCUUGUACCAGUUUAAUUGUCACAUUCAUUUAUCAUGCCAGUGUUAAGAAUGGUUUUGUGCUCAAAAACCUACUGUUGAUGGACAGUAUAACCUCUGAGCCUUGGCAGUAAGAUUUUAGCACAAAGAAAUCUUGUUCUUUAACCAUAAUGAAUAAACAAAAAGUCAGUAAAUCAUAUAUGAUUCUGAUUAGUUACUAAUUAAGCAUAGAUCCAGGGGUGCUGUACAAUGGCUGACCCUGUGCUCUGACCCCAUCUUACAAAGAAGCUGGCAUAUGCGAAGAGAAGGAUGUAGAUGUAUAUGUAGAUGUAUAUAUGAAGAGAUAUAUAUGUAUAUAUGACAAAAUAAAGGCAUUUCAUCUGGCCUA